rnacentral:tRNA from 1 species
GUGGCUAUAGUGUAGCGGUAACACUACUCCCUGUGAAGGAGUCAUCGCCGGUUCGAAUCCGACUAGCCACCCA